GUGAGGAAUAUUGGUCAAUGGACGAGAGUCUGAACCAGCCAAGUAGCGUGAAGGAUGACUGCCCUAUGGGUUGUAAACUUCUUUUAUAAGGGAAUAAAGUGAGGGACGUGUCCCUUUUUGUAUGUACCUUAUGAAUAAGGAUCGGCUAACUCCGUGCCAGCAGCCGCGGUAAUACGGAGGAUCCAAGCGUUAUCCGGAUUUAUUGGGUUUAAAGGGAGCGUAGGUUGACAUAUAAGUCAGCUGUGAAAGUUUACGGCUCAACCGUGAAAUUGCAGUUGAUACUGUAUGUCUUGAGUGUACAAGAGGUGGGCGGAAUUCGUGGUGUAGCGGUGAAAUGCUUAGAUAUCACGAAGAACUCCAAUUGCGAAGGCAGCUCACUGGGGUACAACUGACACUGAGGCUCGAAAGUGUGGGUAUCAAACAGGAUUAGAAACCCCUGUAGUCC
rnacentral:rRNA from 1 species